GUUAAGGUGGCUGAGUUUAAGCGGUAAACUGUAAAUUUAUUUACGAAUUUUUAUUCCCUUAUCA
rnacentral:tRNA from 1 species